UGGGGAAUAUUGCACAAUGGGCGAAAGCCUGAUGCAGCGACGCCGCGUGAGGGAUGACGGCCUUCGGGUUGUAAACCUCUUUCAGCAGGGACGAAGCGCAAGUGACGGUACCUGCAGAAGAAGCACCGGCUAACUACGUGCCAGCAGCCGCGGUAAUACGUAGGGUGCAAGCGUUGUCCGGAAUUACUAGGCGUAAAGAGUUCGUAGGCGGUUUGUCGCGUCGUUUGUGAAAACCAGCAGCUCAACUGCUGGCUUGCAGGCGAUACGGGCAGACUUGAGUACUGCAGGGGAGACUGGAAUUCCUGGUGUAGCGGUGAAAUGCGCAGAUAUCAGGAGGAACACCGGUGGCGAAGGCGGGUCUCUGGGCAGUAACUGACGCUGAGGAACGAAAGCGUGGGUAGCGAACAGG
rnacentral:rRNA from 1 species